UCGUAAAGGGCACGUAGGUGGACUAGUAAGUUAAAAGUGAAAUACCAAAGCUUAACUUUGGAGCGGCUUUUAAUACUGCUAGACUAGAGGUCGAAAGAGGAUAGCGGAAUUCCUAGUGUAGAGGUGAAAUUCGUAGAUAUUAGGAGGAACACCAGUGGCGAAGGCGGCUAUCUGGUUCGAUACUGACACUGAGGUG
rnacentral:rRNA from 1 species